rfam:Parcubacteria (Yanofskybacteria) bacterium GW2011_GWA2_44_9 TW79_C0036, whole genome shotgun sequence.
GGGCGCAUAGCUCAGUUGGUAGAGCAUCUUCUUGACGUGAAGAGGGUCUGAGGUUCGAGUCCUCAUGCGCCCA